rnacentral:rRNA from 1 species
AUACGGAGGGUGCGAGCGUUAUCCGGAUUUAUUAGGUUUAAAGGGUGUGUAGGCGGGAGCCUAAGCCAGUGGUGAAAUCUCACAGCUUAACUGUGAAACUGCCAUUGAAACUGGGUUUCUUGAGUAUAGUUGAGGUAGGCGGAAUGUGUAAUGUAGCGGUGAAAUGCAUAGAUAUUACACAGAACACCGAUUGCGAAGGCAGCUUACUAAGCUAUUACUGACGCUGAUGCACGAAAGCGUGGGUAGCGAACAGGAUUAGAAACCCCAGUAGUCC